ensembl:lncRNA
GAUGAGAACUUCAACCAAUAUGUUGAAUCUUUGGACAUUUGAGCGUUUUUUUUUUAUUAUUAUUUUUUACUUUGUUUUAGUUCUUAUUUUUAUUUUCUUAAGAUCCAAGUUAAUGGAUUUUGUUGAUGUCUUUGUCUAUUGUGACUUGUAGUUUGUGAAAAAUCAAUAAAAAAAAAAAAAAUCUGAUGUACAAUAUUCAAAGCAUGUGUAAAUAUAUAGAUUAACUUGUUUACUAAUGUGGUUAACUACAUUAAGUGUUAAUUGUAAUGUUUUACUAUAAUAAUAAAAGUUAUGUUUAUUUGUUUAUUCAGAUGAGGAAACCUAUUGAAGAAAAUGUUGUAAAUGGUUUACAUUCCUUUGGUCUAUUCUUCUCAGAUUGUGAAUGGAACAAACUUUGUGGUCAAGGGGCGGACUGGCCAUCUGGAGGUUCUGGAGAAGUCCAGAAAGGCCUCCAUCCAACAGCCGUCGGCCUGCUAACUCAUCAUCAAAGAAAAAGUGUCAGAUAAUGUGACGUUGACAGCCGACAAAAGGGGGCGCUAAUGCAAUCUAUUUUUGAUUAGAAGAAUCCGAAAUGAACAUAUACUGCCCGCAUUGUCUUGUACAGCCUGCUGGGUCACUUUAGACUCGGAUGAUCAGUUUGAAAAUAUUUGAAAUGUAAGUCACGUAAAGAUUGCUUUCAGUUUAUGACAACCAGAGUUUCUAGCCACUCCACGUAUUAAUUUCAGUGUUGUGGGACAUGCACUGUAGGCUAAUGUAAACAUUCACUAACAUUAACAAAUAAUAAAUGAAAAACUGACCAUGAAAACAGCAUUUUCCAAUCAAGAUGAUACACAAAUUAUCAUUUUACCAAGUUCAAGGGUAUACUUAUGUUUGGAGUGUUUGGAAAUCUGUUAUUUAAAUUGUUAUCACACCACUGCUCACAAACAACCGAGAUGUCAGAGUUGCACUUGCCUCAAAUUGGUAAAAUGCAUUGUCAUCAAAAGCUUUUUGCCAAAUGCAUGACAGAAAGGUUUGCACUGAACUAUGUUCUUAGUGUUUCCGCGGGUCCUUAAAAGGUCUUAAGUUAAAUCGUUUAAUUUUAAGGCCAAUGUAAUCUCUUAAAUGAUACAGAAAGUCUUAAUUAUAAGAGGUCUUACAUUUGGGGACAGAAAGACAAGAAUUGCAAUAUAGAUUAGUAUGUCGAUUAAAUUUCAAAAGGCUAUGAGUUCACUGAAUAAACUUGAGCAUUGCACGUUUCAAAGUCAGGCGCGCUGCUCUGUGCUGGGAAACCACUAUAUUUCUGCACUUCCGGAAGUGAAACCUACUGGCAGAGAACGAAUUUGCUUUUUCAAUAAACCCGUCUGCUAUUUUUGCGACAUGUUUUUAAAUGUGAACCAGUGGAUCGACAAAAAGCUAAUACAUUAUGUAGCGUGAACCAGACAAAUUAAAGAUUCGAUCGGGAGCCUGGUUGAAACAUGAGCCGAAUUCCACAGAAAGGCAGGAUGUUGUAAAUCAACUCCUAGCACCACAGUCUGAUAACCAACCAACUCUUUCACAGAACAGCUUUCAACAUUAACACCAUUAGAACAAUUAUUGACAAUUUCAAUUCGAAGAAGAGAUUGUCUAAUUUGGGGCAAGUAAUCGAAGAGAUGGACAGUCUGAGCCUCACAUGUAAAGCCAUGACAGAGAAAACAAGAUCGUUGGAUUGACUUCCCCCCACCUAGCAAAACCAGACUGAAAUUCCUAAGGAGACCUGUUAACCCCUCUGGUCUCCACAGGACAUAUCCUUACUCCCCAGAAUGGCACAGAGAAUGCCUUCCAAUGCAUAUAUGCACCAAAAUGAACUCAAAAAAGACUUCUAAAUGGAUAUCAGUCCAUUGCUUAACUCCAUAUCAUUUAUGUAACCGACACAUUUGAUUUUAAUGUUUCUAAUCACUUAUUGUGUAUGUCUUUUUAAAUAACUCUUGAAUAGCUUAAGGGAUCAUAUUCAUGUUUAGUAUGUGUGUGUUCGAAUAUUCUUGCUUGAAACGUUUCUGACCAUUAGUUAUUUGUCAAAUGUAUCAUAUUCUUGUUAUAGGAAUCAUGUCCAAAUUAUACCCUGCAAGAGCGGGAAAAUUCGGACCUCGUGCUUGAUAAGAUAACAUAUGAUUUAUGAAUGGGUGGGACAAACAAUGCAACACACGAGAAAAGACACUAUCUAAUUGGUCAAGACAACAUUUGAGGUGUGGCCAAAAGGCCAGUUUAAAUACUCAGGACACCAUCAAAUUUUGCUUUUAGCUUUUAGCUUUUGUCAAGCUUUUGCUAUCAGUCAUGCCGGCUUUUAGCUUUGCUUGUAGUUUAAGCUUUUAGUCAUGCUUUUAGCUUUGAGCUUUCGUUUAGCUUUUGCUAUCAGUCAUGCCGGCUUUUAGCUUUUGCUUUUAGUCAUGCUUUGUCAUCACUUUUAGCGUUCUUCGAGCGCCGUUCCAGCGUGCUUCGGCCUGCACGCCUGCUGCUACUUAGCCACGAUGAGAAGAAACACCACCUAGUCUCGUCAAACUUUACUUCUUUUCUUUU